rnacentral:misc_RNA from 1 species
UUGAUGGAUUCAUCAAGUACUCCGACGUAUGGAUACAGAGUUGAGAUGGUCCAUCGGGGGCCCCGGCGCGGAGGCCGGGUCGCCCCCGAGGCAACAAGUGUUGGUCAACAGAGGGUUGGAGGUCGGGCCAGGGGCCCUCACUCGGUAAUGAUCCCUCCGCAGGUUCACCUACGGAGA